GCUAGACAUGUACACCUUACAAUCAUUCCAUACACCAAAUAUAGUAGACCUAUUGCAUAUAGUAUAAGAAAAACAGACCAAAACACAAAAACUUAACUAUAACCACUGAACCAUGAAAAUGAGGUCAAGGUCAGAUGACACCUGCCAGUUGGACAUGUACACCUUACAGUCCUUCCAUACACCGAAUAUACUAGACCUAUUGCUUAUAGUAUCUGAGAUAUGGACUUGAACACCAAAACUUAACCUUGUUC
rnacentral:lncRNA from 1 species